rnacentral:tRNA from 1 species
CCCCUGGUGGUCUAGUGGUUAGGAUGCAGCCCUCUCACCGCUGCAGCCUUGGUUCAACUCCUGGUCACGGCA